rnacentral:rRNA from 1 species
AUUGAACGCUGGCGGCAGGCUUAACACAUGCAAGUCGAGCGAGCGGCGGACGGGUGAGUAAUGUCUGGGAAACUGCCUGAAGGAGGGGGAUAACUACUGGAAACGGUAGCUAAUACCGCAUACCAUCAGAUGUGCCCAGAUGGGAUUAGCUAGUAGGUGGGGUAAUGGCUCACCUAGGCGACGACCCCUAGCGGGUAUGAGUGGAUGAACAGACAAUAUGGAAGUGAGACACGGUCCAGACGCCUACGUGAGGCAGCAGGGGGGAAUAUUGGAAAAUGGGCGAAAGCCUGAUGCAGCCAUGCCGCGUGUGUGAAGAAGGCGUUCAGGUUGUAAAGCACUUUCAGCGAGGAGGCGUGACUCGCAGAAGAAGCACCGGCUAACUCCGUGCCAGCAGCCGCGGUAAUAC